rnacentral:ncRNA from 1 species
CCAAACGCAGCGACGGAGAGAGUAGGUAUGGCGUACACGGCAAAGAGAGAAGCUUCACCGGCUGAGAGGGCUUCCGGGUGUAUCUGUGCUGAAGUUCGCUCCUGAGCGGUCUGUGCGAAACAGCAGUAGUACAGAACGGCCACGCCCCGUUACGGCGUUCUGAGAGCUGCCCGGCAUCUGUGCACGGGUGGAAACCGGGUGGUACCGCGGAGCUAAGAAUCAACGGCUUCGUCCCUUUU